AGUGAACGCUGGCGGUAGGCCUAACACAUGCAAGUCGAACGGCAGCACAGUAAGAGCUUGCUCUUACGGGUGGCGAGUGGCGGACGGGUGAGGAAUACAUCGGAAUCUACUUUUUCGUGGGGGAUAACGUAGGGAAACUUACGCUAAUACCGCAUACGACCUACGGGUGAAAGCAGGGGAUCUUCGGACCUUGCGCGAUUGAAUGAGCCGAUGUCGGAUUAGCUAGUUGGCGGGGUAAAGGCCAACCAAGGCGACGAUCCGUAGCUGGUCUGAGAGGAUGAUCAGCCACACUGGAACUGAGACACGGUCCAGACUCCUACGGGAGGGAGCAGUGGGGAAUAUUGGACAAUGGGCGCGAGCCUGAUCCAGCCAUACCGCGUGGGUGAAGAAGGCCUUCGGGUUGUAAAGCCCUUUUGUUGGGAAAGAAAAGCAGCAGGUUAAUACCCCGCUGUUCUGACGGUACCCAAAGAAUAAGCACCGGCUAACUUCGUG
rnacentral:rRNA from 1 species